UUGAGUUUGAGCAGGCUCCAGGAGUUGGUGAUGGACAGGGAAGCCUGGCGUGCUGCAGCCCAUGGGGUCGCAAAGAGUCGGACACGACUGAGCGACUGAACUGAAUGCCUGUUACGUGACUCCUCUUGGGUGUUUUUUCAAAAGAAAUACACGGACUUAAAUUUUUUGUCAAGCAUUUUUACAGUUUGCUGCUUUCGGAUCCCACUCGCUGACUGACUUGACAAGUUACUUAACCUUUGUAUGUCUCAGGUUCCUCAUAUGUGAAAUGAGGAUGAUGACAUGAUGCAAGCCUUUUGAAAGGAUUAAUUUCCCACCCCAGGUCCUGCAGACCGGCCUGCAAAGGGGAAAAGUGGAGUGUGUGCGGUUCCCUGCCCGCCAGUCUUCCACUCACCUGCAGACUCGCACAGCCCACCUCACCGGCUCCGCACGGAACCCGCGAAGGAAACUUGGCCAGGACAAAUGCCAGGCCAGCAGCUUUGCGACUGAGGGUGAACCGGGUUCCCGGACGCGUCAGUAAAGGGUGGGAACUGCUCCAGAGUGAGGCGCUCGCUCUGGUCGCCCCAACUCAGCGACCGUCCCCGCCGCGGUACCCGCCCGCUCCUCUCCCUUCCAGUCCCUUUCUCCCUUCUGGCUCAUCCUCUCUUCUCUCCUGCCCUUGCCCUUCCUCGGAUCUUUUCGCCGGCCUCACACCUUUCUUUUCCCGUCCUCCAAAGACAGCUGCGUCAUUGAGUCCUUUGUAACCGCUGAAAGUUCCUAAAUACAAGCAUCAGAGAGAUGCUCCUCAGCACCGCGAA